AUUGAACGCUGGCGGCAUGCCUUACACAUGCAAGUCGAACGGUAACAGGUCUUCGGAUGCUGACGAGUGGCGAACGGGUGAGUAAUACAUCGGAACGUGCCUAGUAGUGGGGGAUAACUACUCGAAAGAGUGGCUAAUACCGCAUGAGAUCUACGGAUGAAAGCAGGGGAUCGCAAGACCUUGUGCUACUAGAGCGGCCGAUGGCAGAUUAGGUAGUUGGUGGGAUAAAAGCUUACCAAGCCGACGAUCUGUAGCUGGUCUGAGAGGACGAUCAGCCACACUGGGACUGAGACACGGCCCAGACGCCUACGGGAGGCAGCAGUGGGGAAUUUUGGACAAUGGGCGCAAGCCUGACCCAGCAAUGCCGCGUGCAGGAUGAAGGCCUUCGGGUUGUAAACUGCUUUUGUACGGAACGAAAAGCCCUGGGUUAAUACCCUGGGGUCAUGACGGUACCGUAAGAAUAAGCACCGGCUAACUACGUGCCAGCAGCCGCAGUAACAC
rnacentral:rRNA from 1 species